AUCCUUUUGUAGUUCAUAAGCAUGAUUGGGUUUUCACGUGCACGAAUGAGAUGUGCCUCCCUCAAUCCUUGUUACGAUGUUGGCACAUUACCCGUCUGACA